AAUAAAGAGGAGAGAGAGAGAGAGAGCAGCAGUACCAGGAUCACAGGAGAUUAGGAUGACUUCAUGUUACCUGUCGACUCACAGAAAUCCCAUGAAUUUCAUUGAAUUUCCCAAGAAACAAGAGCAUAAUCAGGACUCAGUGCAUCGGAUCAGACCGCUGAGUUGUUGACAGAAGCUCAGAGAGGCUUGCCAGCUUUCCACAUGAAACACAGGCUUUCUUCUAAUACACCCCCUACCGUCUGUCUCUCUGCCAAUUGUAGCACAUCAGAGCAGCCAUUGAGAUAAUGACCGUGAAGUCUCAUGAUACACUUUGAUGAAGUGUAACAUUUUUUAAGGGAUUUUUGUCUGUGCCAAAGUGAUAGAGACAGCUGACUAAAAAUCACCCCAUCAAAAUCAAGGCUGGUGAACAGCAGGCAGAGACAUGUGUUUCCAGCGAAGAGAGAGAGAGAACAACUUAGAGCCAAUGAUU